rnacentral:rRNA from 1 species
AACCCGUUCUGAAACACGGACCAAGGAGUUCAACAUAUGCGCAGGUCGUUGGGUGUCUGGUAUACCCGAAGGCUUAGUGAAAGCAAGAUAUAUCAUUCGAUGGUAUUAUAGCGGCGAGAUCCUGGUGCUUCGUGCAUUAGGCGCAUCGCCGACCCGUUUAAUGGCCACGCGCCAUGGACGGAGUUAGAGCGCAUACGCUGAGACCCGAAAGAUGGUGAACUAUGCCUGGGCAGGAUGAAGCCAGAGGAAACUCUGGUGGAAGUCCGUAGCGAUUCUGACGUGCAAAUCGAUCGUCUGACCUGGGUAUAGGGGCGAAAGACUAAUCGAACCAUCUAAUAGCUGGUUCCCUCCGAAGUUUCCCUCAGGAUAGCUGGUGCUCGAUUUUAAGCAGUCUCUCCCGGUAAAGCGAAUGAUUAGAGGCAUUGGGUCCGAAACGGUCUCAACCUAUUCUCAAACUUUAAAUGGGUGAGAAGUCCGGCUUACUUAAUUUGAAGUCUGGACCAUAGUUUGGAUGCAUGAGUGCCUAGUGGGCCAUUUUUG